GAAUGCUGACAUAAGUAACGAUAAAGCGGGUGAAAAGCCCGCUCGCCGGAAGACCAAGGGUUCCUGUCCAACGUUAAUCGGGGCAGGGUGAGUCGACCCCUAAGGCGAGGCCGAAAGGCGUAGUCGAUGGGAAACAGGUUAAUAUUCCUGUACUUGGUGUUACUGCGAAGGGGGGACGGAGAAGGCUAUGUUGGCCGGGCGACGGUUGUCCCGGUUUAAGCGUGUAGGCUGGUUUUCCAGGCAAAUCCGGAAAAUCAAGGCUGAGGCGUGAUGACGAGGCACUACGGUGCUGAAGCAACAAAUGCCCUGCUUCCAGGAAAAGCCUCUAAGCAUCAGGUAACAUCAAAUCGUACCCCAAACCGACACAGGUGGUCAGGUAGAGAAUACCAAGGCGCUUGAGAGAACUCGGGUGAAGGAACUAGGCAAAAUGGUGCCGUAACUUCGGGAGAAGGCACGCUGAUAUGUAGGUGAAGCGACUUGCUCGUGGAGCUGAAAUCAGUCGAAGAUACCAGCUGGCUGCAACUGUUUAUUAAAAACACAGCACUGUGCAAACACGAAAGUGGACGUAUACGGUGUGACGCCUGCCCGGUGCCGGAAGGUUAAUUGAUGGGGUUAGCGCAAGCGAAGCUCUUGAUCGAAGCCCCGG
rnacentral:rRNA from 1 species